rnacentral:rRNA from 1 species
CACUCUAGAGAGACUGCCAGGGAUAACCUGGAGGAAGGUGGGGAUGACGUCAAAUCAUCAUGCCCCUUAUGCUUAGGGCUACACACGUGCUACAAUGGGUAGUACAGAGGGUUGCCAAGCCGUAAGGUGGAGCUAAUCCCUUAAAGCUACUCUUAGUUCGGAUUGUAGGCUGAAACUCGCCUACAUGAAGCUGGAGUUACUAGUAAUCGCAGAUCAGAAUGCUGCGGUGAAUGCGUUCCCGGGUCUUGUACACACCGCCCGUCACACCACGGGAGUUGGAGACGCCCGAAGCCGAUUAUCUAACCU